rnacentral:rRNA from 1 species
AUUGAACGCUGGCGGCAUGCUUUACACAUGCAAGUCGAACGGCAGCGCGGGCUUCGGCCUGGCGGCGAGUGGCGAACGGGUGAGUAAUACAUCGGAACGUGCCCAGUAGUGGGGGAUAGCUCGGCGACAGCCGGAUUAAUACCGCAUACGACCUGAGGGUGAAAGCGGGGGAUCUUCGGACCUCGCGCUAUUGGAGCGGCCGAUGGCAGAUUAGCUAGUUGGUGGGGUAAAGGCCUACCAAGGCGACGAUCUGUAGCUGGUCUGAGAGGACGACCAGCCAAACUGGGACUGAGACACGGCCCAGACUCCUACGGGAGGCAGCAGUGGGGAAUUUUGGACAAUGGGCGAAAGCCUGAUCCAGCAAUGCCGCGUGUGUGAUGAAGGCCUUCGGGUUGUAAAGCACUUUUGGCGGGAACGAAAAGGACUGUGCCAAUACCACGGUUCGAUGACGGUACCCGCAGAAUAAGCACCGGCUAACUACGUG